UUUUUGAAGGGUUUGAUCUUGGCUCAGAACGAACGCUGGCGGCGUGGAUUAGGCAUGCAAGUCGAACGAGGAUAUAUCCUUCGGGAUAUAAGCCGAGUGGCACAAGGGUGAGCAAUGCAUAGAUUACCUACCUUUAGGAUAAGGACAACUUUGUGAAAACGGAGCUAAUACUUAAUAAUACAAAAGAAAAUAAUUUUCUUUUGUCAAAGGGAGGGUAGCAAUACCUUUCGCCUAGAGAGGGGUUUAUGUCCUAUCAGCUUGUUGGUGGG
rnacentral:rRNA from 1 species